UCUCCUGUGAGUCCUGUAGCUCAGUGGUAGAGCGUACAACUGGUGCGCAUAAGAUCUCAUCAUUGGUUCGACUCCUGUUGGGAGAA